rnacentral:ncRNA from 1 species
UACGUCCCUGCUCUUUGUACACACCGCCCGUCGCUACUACCGAUUGAAUUAUUUAGUGAGGUCUCCGGACGUGAUCACUGUAACGCAUUUUAUGUGUUGCGGAUGUUUCGCAAAAGUUGACCGAACUUGAUUAUUUAGAGGAAGUAAAAGUCGUAACAAGGUUUCCGUAGGUGAACCUGCGGAAGGAUCAUUA